rnacentral:rRNA from 1 species
GAGUGAACGCUAGGCGGCGUGCCUAACACAUGCAAGUCGAGCGGAGUCGAUCGACGGAAGCCUUCGGGCGGAAGAUGGUUGACUUAGCGGCGGAUGGGUGAGUAACGCGUGGGGCAAACCUGCCUCGAAGACCGGGAUAACAGCCCGAAAGGGCUGCUAAUACCGGAUGUGGUCAAGGAUCCGCAUGGAUUUUGAUUAAAGGGGAAACCCGUUUCGAGAUGGGCCCGCGUCCUAUCAGCUAGUUGGUGAGGUAAAAGCUCACCAAGGCGACGACGGGUAGCCGGCCUGAGAGGGUGACCGGCCACACUGGAACUGAGACACGGUCCAGACUCCUACGGGGGGCAGCAGUGGGGAAUCUUCCACAAUGGGCGAAAGCCUGAUGGAGCGACGCCGCGUGAGCGAAGAAGGCCUUCGGGUUGUAAAGCUCUGUCUGGAGGGACGAAGGAAGUGACGGUACCUCCGGAGGAAGCCACGGCUAACUACGUG